rnacentral:rRNA from 1 species
GAUCAUGGCUCAGGACGAACGCUGGCGGCGUGCCUAACACAUGCAAGUCGAACGGGACUAUUGAAGAAGCUUGCUUUUGAAAUAGUCAAGUGGCGGACGGGUGAGUAACGCGUGAGGACCUGUCUCCGGCAGGGGGACAACAUUUGGAAACGGAUGCUAAUACCGCAUAAGCCGAGAGGUGAAAGGAGCAAUCCGGCAGGAGAGGGACUCGCGUUCUAUCAGCUAGUAGGCGGGGUAAAGGCCCACUAGG